UGAACAUCUACCGUACAUUGGUUUAAACAUGCAGAUAAACAAGACCCUCGGAAUCUACCCAAGCAUUUGCUCGAACAUCUUCGAUAGCAGUCUUUGUCAACUUUGGCUUCCAUAGCCACGACAAGAAGAAGCAACAGGAUGCUGAUAAUCAUACCUCUACCCAUUUUAUUCUAUCUGAUGUUUUUACUUCAGUCUGUUUAUUAUUUAUAGAGCUUUACUAGUACUUUACC
rnacentral:lncRNA from 1 species